GCAGGAGUGGCGCAACUGGCAGACGCGCUGAUCUCAAACAUCAGUUUAUGAGAGUUCGAAUCUCUCCUCCUGUA
rnacentral:tRNA from 1 species